AUUCAGUAUUCCCUGAUAAAAUACAUCUAUUACUCCUGCAAAGUAUUUCUGAGCAACAACACUGAUUAUUAACUUAAACACUUAUCUGACACAACGUGCUGUGGAAAAGUAUAUAGAUUUUUAUGCAGAGAGAUAUCAAAUUGGAGUGAUGUAUCUGUUUUUAUGGGAUUGGAGAAGUACGAAUUCAGAGUAACGUAUCUGUUUUUAUGGGAUUGGAGAGGUACGAAUUCAGAGUAACGUAUCUGUUUUUAUGGGAUUGGAGAAGUACGAAUUCAGAGUAACGUAUCUGUUUUUAUGGGAUUGGAGAAGUACGAAUUCAAAGUAACGUAUCUGUUUUUAUGGGAUUGGAGUAAAACAACAUUUGUGUGAACCCCUGGGUAAUAAAUACAUUGAGUAUGAUAACAGUAACACUUAAACUAUCUACAUAGUAUGGGGAGUUUGUCUGCUUUUCAUAUGGAAUUCUUUACAGGUAUUUCAAAAUGUGGAAUCAUCUCAACUAUUUCAUUGUUAACAAUAAUA